rnacentral:rRNA from 1 species
GACGAACGCUGGCGGCGUGCUUAACACAUGCAAGUCGAACGGAAAGGUCCGGCUUUUGUGGGGUGCUCGAGUGGCGAACGGGUGAGUAACACGCGAGUAACCUGCCCUUGACUUUGGGAUAACUUCAGGAAACUGGGGCUAAUACCGGAUAGGAGCUCCUGCGGCAUGGUGGGGGUUGGAAAGUUUCGGCGGUUGGGGAUGGACUCGCGGCUUAUCAGCUUGUUGGUGGGGUAGUGGCUUACCAAGGCUUUGACGGGUAGCCGGCCUGAGAGGGUGACCGGCCACAUUGGGACUGAGCUACGGCCCAGCCUCCUACGGGAGGCAGCGGUGGGGAAUAUUGCACUGUGGGCUGAAGCCUGAUGCAGCACCGCCGCGUGCGGGAUGACGGCCUUCGGGUUGUGAACCGCUUUCGCCUGUGACGAAGCGUGAGUGACGGUAAUGGGUAAAGAAGCACCGGCUAACUACGUG